UACGAAGGGGGCUAGCGUUGCUCGGAAUCACUGGGCGUAAAGCGCGCGCAGGCGGUUCUUCAAGUCAGAGGUGAAAGCCCAGGGCUCAACCCUGGAAUGGCCUUUGAGACUAGAGAACUAGGGUACGGGAGAGGUGAGUGGAAUUCCGAGUGUAGAGGUGAAAUUCGUAGAUAUUCGGAAGAACACCGGUGGCGAAGGCGGCGUUCUGGACUGCAUCUGACACUGAAAGACGAAAGCCAGGGGAGCAAACGGG
rnacentral:rRNA from 1 species